rnacentral:rRNA from 1 species
UACGUAGGUGGCGAGCGUUAUCCGGAAUGAUUGGGCGUAAAGGGUGCGUAGGCGGUUUCUUAAGUCAGAGGUGAAAGGCUACGGCUCAACCGUAGUAAGCCUUUGAAACUGGGAAACUUGAGUGCAGGAGAGGAGAGUGGAAUUCCUAGUGUAGCGGUGAAAUGCGUAGAUAUUAGGAGGAACACCAGUUGCGAAGGCGGCUCUCUGGACUGUAACUGACACUGAGGCACGAAAGCGUGGGGAGCAAACAGG